rnacentral:rRNA from 1 species
GUGAGGAAUUUUCCGCAAUGGGCGAAAGCCUGACGGAGCAAUGCCGCGUGAAGGAUGAAGGCCUAUGGGUUGUAAACUUCUUUUCUUAGAGAAGAAUAUUGACGGUAUCUGAGGAAUAAGCAUCGGCUAACUCUGUGCCAGCAGCCGCGGUAAGACAGAGGAUGCAAGCGUUAUCCGGAAUGCUUGGGCGUAAAGCGUCUGUAGGUGGCUUCAAAAGUCUCCUGUCAAAGAUCAGGGCUUAACCCUGGGCCGGCAGGAGAAACUCUGAGGCUAGAGUUUGGUAGGGAGAGAGGGAAUUCCCGGUGGAGCAGUGAAAUGCGUAGAGAUCGGGAGGAACACCAAAGGCGAAAGCACUCUGCUGGGCCACAACUGACACUGAGAGACGAAAGCGAGGGGAGCAAAAGGGAUUAGAUACCCUGGUAGUCC